UGCUUUCUGUUUAUAGAUAAUUGGCCAAUGAUUAAGUUUGUUCUAUGCUGUUAGCUUGAUAUUUCUGCACUGUCUUCGCUUCUGCUAAAUUUUGGACGUUUUUCUUCAAUUUUACGUCUUAGUUUUUGAGUUUUUUUUCGUGUUUUUGUUUUGUUUGGAUUGUCGUCCGGUGGAGUUUUAUCUGUCAUGUAAUUGUUGAAACUUGAAAUCGCCUAAUGUUUUAAGAGUUUUUUGUUUUUGGUUUUAGACUGGAAGGCUAUGUAUCUGCAUGUAUGAAUUUUGCGUAGAGUUCGUAUUCUGGAAUUUGUGCGGGAGGAGGAAAAUGUGAGAUGGAUGUUUGCAAAUGAACUGAAAUGGAGUAGAAUUUGAUAUAUUUUUUAAAAAAUUUUAUUGCUCCGUUUCGUAUAGUAUAAUAAUUGUAUACGCAUAGGCAUACGUAUGACUGAGUAGGCUUGGUGAGCAUGCAUGUAUCUAGUAGAUGUCUGCGUGUGGUGUAUGUAUAAAUUAUUUGUGUAAAGAGACGUUUUAGCAGAGAAUUCAAGUAUUAAUCCGCCUUUGUUUUGUGAUUGUGAAGAUUGAAGAGUACAGUGUGAGGUUUGGAAAUAAGCCUGGUGUGCUGUUAUGUUAGGAUAGUGAAAUGGGGAGUAAUUUGAACUUCGGUAAUGAGCCGCCUGGAAGUGGUGGUGGGGGAAGGUUUCCGGGGAAUUUUGGGCUAACAAGGCAGUCUUCAGUCUACUCAUUAACUUUUGAUGAGUUCCAGAGCAGUAUGGGUGGGAUUGGGAAGGAUUUUGGGUCAAUGAACAUGGAUGAGUUGCUGAAGAAUAUUUGGAGCGCAGAGGAGAAUCAGACGACCAUGGGAUCCAGCAGUGGAGCACAAGAAGGGGGUGUGCCUGGGCCUGGGGGGUAUCUGCAGAGACAAGGGUCCUUGACACUUCCAAGGACUCUGAGCCAGAAGACUGUUGAUGAGGUCUGGAGGGAUAUGUCUAAGGUGUAUGAUAUUGGGAAGGAUGGAAGUGCUCCUCUUGGGAGCUCAAAUAUUCCUCAGAGGCAGCCGACGUUAGGGGAGAUAACGCUUGAGGAGUUCUUGGUUAGAGCAGGAGUUGUGAGAGAGGAGGCACAGUUGGCUGGAAAGGCUGCUGCUGAGAGUGCUGCUCUUUUUGGCGAUUUAACGCACACUCUGAAUAAUUCUGGACUUGGAUUUGGAUUUCAGCAAGCUGGACAGAACACGGGAUUGAUGGGUAGCAGGACCAAUGAAAGUAGGAGUGUAUUAGAAAUCCAACCUGCUAGUAUGCCACUGAAUGUCAACCGCGCCAGAUCUGCCCAGCCUCAGCUUGGGACAGCACACUUGCAGCAGCAACCACAGCAGAAACAACACCAGCAACCUCUAUUCCCAAAGCAACCUGUUUUGCCAUAUGCUGUUCCCAUGGCAAUCCCAACAACUAGCCCAUUAGGUAGUAAUGGAAUAAGGGGUGGGACUGUGGGAGCUUCUGAUCCAGCGAUGAAUGGUAGUAAUGCUGUAAUGAAUGGUGGUUUUGUUCAAAGCCCUGCAUUGCAUGGUGGUAGGAUGGGUAUGGUAGGUUUGGGGGCUGGAGGGGUUAGUGUUGCUACAGGAUCCCCUGCUGUUUCGUCAGAUGGGUUUGCAAAGAGUAACGGUGAUACAUCUUCCGUGUCACCAGUUCCUUUUGUGUUCAAUGGCAGUCUGCGUGGCAGGAAAUGUAGUGCGAUUGAGAAGGUUGUUGAAAGAAGGCAGAGGAGAAUGAUCAAAAAUAGAGAGUCAGCUGCAAGAUCAAGGGCUCGGAAGCAGCAUGGGUGGUAAUGUGUAUGCUGUAACAUGGCCUUGUGUGAAUGGGUUUGAGUGGUUAAGAUUCAUGAGAAGUUUUAAGCUUCUGAUUUGUAGGAAAAGGCUUACACCAUGGAAUUAGAAGCAGAAGUUGCAAAACUAAAAGAAGAAAACGAAGAACUACAGAAGAAACAGACUGAGAUUAUGGAAAUGCA